UGAAUACGAGACGCUAAGGCGUCGAAGUAGUGUAUGUCAUACUUCCAAGAAAAGCUUGCACUGUCAUAGAUAAAAAACGCCUGUACCAUAACCGACACAGGUGGGUAGGUAGAGUAUACUAAGGGGCGCGAGAUAACUCUCUCUAAGGAACUCGGCAAAAUAACUCCGUAACUUCGGGAGAAGGAGUGCCUUAUUCUUAAAGUUGCAAUAACAAGAUCCAAGCAACUGUUUAUCAAAAACACGGGUCUCCGCUAAGUCGUAAGACGAUGUAUGGGGGCUGACGCCUGCCCAGUGCCAGAAGGUUAAAGAAACUGGUUAGCAUUUGCGAAGCUAGUAACUGAAGCCCUGGUGAACGGCAGCCGUAACUAUAACGGUCCUAAGGUAGCGAAAUUCCUUGUCGGGUAAGUUCCGACCCGCACGAAAGGCGUAAUGAUUUGGAUACUGUCUCGGAGAGGGGCUCGGUGAAAUAGACUUGUCUGUGAAGAUGCGGACUACCUGCACCAGGACAGAAAGACCCUAUGAAGCUUUACUGUAACUUGAAAUUGAAAUUGGACUUUAUUCGCGCAGUAUAGGUGGGAGGCGUUGAUUAUAAUCUUGCGGGAUUAUUGGAGCCAUUAGUGAGAUACCACUCUUGUAAUGUUAGAUUUCUAACUUUGAAUCAUUAUCUGGUCAAAGAACAGUUUCAGGCGGGCAGUUUGACUGGGGCGGUCGCCUCCUAAACGGUAACGGAGGCGUACAAAGGUUUCCUCUGAACGGUUAGAAAUCGUAUCUAGAGUGUAAAGGCAUAAGGAAGCUUGACUGUGAGACCUACAAGUCGAGCAGGGACGAAAGUCGGUCUUAGUGAUCUGACGGUACUGAGUGGAAAGGCCGUCACUCAACGGAUAAAAGUUACUCUAGGAUAACAGGCUGAUCUCCCCCAAGAGUACACAUCGACGGGGAGGUUUGGCACCUCGAUGUCGACUCAUCGCAUCCUGGGGCGGUAGUACGUCCCAAGGGUUGGGCUGUUCGCCCAUGAAAGCGGUACGCGAGCUGGGUUCAGAACGUCGUGAGACAGUUCGGUCCAUAUCCGGUGUAGGCGUUAGAUUAUUGAGAGGAGCCUUCUUUAGUACGAGAGGACCGAGAAGGACAUACCUCUGGUGUACCAGUUAUCGUGCCAACGGUAAACGCUGGGUAGCUAUGUAUGGAGUGGAUAACCGCUGAAAGCAUCUAAGUGGGAAGCCCACCUCAAGAUAAGUAUUCUCA
rnacentral:rRNA from 1 species